AUUGAACGCUGGCGGCAUGCUUUACACAUGCAAGUCGAACGGUAACAGGCCGCAAGGUGCUGACGAGUGGCGAACGGGUGAGUAAUGCAUCGGAACGUGCCCAGUCGUGGGGGAUAACGCAGCGAAAGCUGCGCUAAUACCGCAUACGAUCUAUGGAUGAAAGCGGGGGACCGUAAGGCCUCGCGUGAUUGGAGCGGCCGAUGUCAGAUUAGGUAGUUGGUGGGGUAAAGGCUCACCAAGCCAAAGAUCUGUAGCUGGUCUGAGAGGACGACCAGCCACACUGGGACUGAGACACGGCCCAGACUCCUACGGGAGGCAGCAGUGGGGAAUUUUGGACAAUGGGCGCAAGCCUGAUCCAGCAAUGCCGCGUGCAGGAAGAAGGCCUUCGGGUUGUAAACUGCUUUUGUACGGAACGAAACGGUCCGGGUUAAUACCCUGGGCUAAUGACGGUACCGUAAGAAUAAGCACCGGCUAACUACGUGCCAGCCGCCGCGGUAACAC
rnacentral:rRNA from 1 species